AAAAUGAUGCAAUAAUUAUUCACUUGGUCUUCUUUCUGAACACAAAGGCCUAUCUGAAAAAGUGCAGACAAGGAUGAUGUCAUUCUGAACAAUACUGUCUCAUUGUGACUACGAUUCCAAAUGGAGGAAUAAUCAAAAUCACAGAUAACGUAUUACACACACUCGAUACCUACACAAAUCAUACAGCGGUGCAAUUGCAUGCAUUGUCUUGGAACAGCACACACACUUAAACACAUGCUCUGCUUCUUGAAAAACAAAACUUGUAUAUUUGCCAGGUGUUUGUGUGUUUGUGCUUUGUGCUGUUUGUGUUCCAUAGAUUAGAAUGAGCUCAGUAUCCUCUAAUAUUCUCUGUACAACCAAAACCACUAUUUAGCUGAACACCACUAGUUGCCUGUUACCAUAGAAACCCUUAAAGCUGCUCUCUGGUGUUUACCAUCGGCAGGAAAUGGGGAGAAAGCAACUCAAAACUGUGAACUUACCCACAAAAUGUUGUCAACAGCAAAUUUUGGUAAAAGAGAUCCUUUGGAGAUCCGUUGUGUAGCCUGGCUGCUCACUAGCACCACCUGUUGUACGGAAACAAUUUGAGCUGCUUUUAUGGAGGUUUCCGCUUCCACUUUAUCCACAGCACAUUUUGUGUGAGAUCAAAUGGUGGUAGGGAGGAGGGUCAUCUGUGUGCAAUGUACUUGUACGGUGUGGGUAAAGAAAAUAAGUUAUGAUGGGGGUAAAAAAGGAUGUUUUGGUUUCAAACCCUCAACUAAUCUGGUGACUAUUCACAAGACAUGAUGAUUGUGUCUGUGUGUGUGUGUGUGUGUGUGCGUAUUUCCCACAGUCACAUUAACUAUAUAUUGCUCAUAUAGCAUGUUAUUUAAAGUAGAGUUUGUUCAUUUUAAAGUAAAAACACUAAGCUGCUUAUUAUAAUGACAUCAGCAUUACCCAUCAGCCCUUUCUGCUGAUGUAGGGUUGUUUUAGGUUAGAUGACAAAUAACAGAUGAUAACUCCUUCCUCCUCUAGAGCUAAGUCAGCCAAUUACAGUAUUCCUAUGCUGUUAAUAAAGAUGCAGGCUGUGCUCCAAUUCUCAUACUACUGUACACAAGCAGCAUCACAGAAAGUGGAAUAGUGGGGUUGACUACCCACUCUCUUGGACUACUUCUGUGGUUCCAAACAUGGCAUCUUGUUCACUAUUAUUAUUUCCCUGAGUGGUUUGUGCUGCUGGCUUGUAUGAGUUUGAAUGAAAAUAAUGAGUCAGCGCACUAGAACGGUGAACUGGUGACUUUGGUUUUCACCACUAGAUGGCAGCUUGGUGUCGUGAAAGAACCUUGAAGCAAUCAUACUUAAUGUUGAGUUAAACUAUCACUAUUCCAUUACAACGAGAGAAAGUGAUUUCAUGAAAAGUGUAGUUUCUCACAUAUAUAGCUACAAUGAGGUGCUCUCUUUGUAUUCGUCCCUUCCCAAAAGUAUCUGGCGCAUGAUUUUCUGGUCAGUAACACAGUGGCUUGGUUUUAUUUUUUAAAAUGCAGAAUGAUGAAAUAUUAAUCAAACAUACUCAUAUGUUCUAGUUUUUCUACAGUGUUGGGUUUUAGGGGGUAAAGUUCUAACACUCUGGUAAUGAGGAUUGUAUAUAUGAAUAAAUAAAUAAAUAAAUAAAUAAAAGUCAAUAAUGUCACACAAAUAGGGCCAUUUGAGAAAUUUCAAGCAACAAUCCUAGGCAACAUUCUCAGAAAAUAAAAGUACCAAAAUGUACUUUUCCUCAUCACCAGUCUGGUUCCAUCAAUAAUGGACAUAUUGUAAAUGUCUUAUGUGUCUUUUCUUUAUUAAGAUGCACAAGUGGUGAAUGGUUUACCUUUAGCUUUUAUAGUAAAACUUUAAAAGUAGUGGUCCUUAAGAUCCGAUUAUGUACCUAAAGGUACAAAAGAUGUACCUUGAUAGUACCACACCAUCAGCAAAGAAAAUUACAGUGUAUUUCUAAGAGUAAAUUUCAGAUUCUUUUGGACCCCUUCGCAACCUAUUUUCCCUCUGCAAUCAGUUCCACUAGCUAUUAUCAGUUCCUUAAGAUAUAAGAUAAGAGUGUAUAUGGGUGAAUAGUUUUGUCUAUUUAUAAUGUUUCAUGAUGUAAAGAACGGUUAUGCCUGUUUCUGUUCAUUUGCAUGACUUAAAAAAAAAGAUGUGUAGCUGAGUGUUUUGCCAAUACAGUAGACAGGAAGCACAUUGGCACAUCUAAUGUUCUUAUGACAUAUUUAAGAUGUAAUAAGCUAAUAUGUAGUGGUGAAUUGUGCUGAGAUUGACAUUUGUAAUAUAACCAUUCUUCUGAAAACUGGAGAAAAAAAGUGUGUAUAUUUUGAGGUAUAUGUUCUUUUCCUUUUUAAACCAUAUUUAAGGACUUGGUCUGAAACUCUCCCUGUGUGAAAUGACAUGUUUUCUCUUUUAACUAUGUUUUUUUUUUUUUUUUUCUAAAAAAAAAAAUUAUAAUAAUAACCAAAUGACCCAGACCAGCUCACUGAUUUCCUUGCCUUGUGACUCUUCUCAUAUUCUGAGAGACAGAGUGUGUGUGUGUGUGUGUGUGUGUGUGUGUGUGUGUGUACUGUAUGUGCGCUUGUACAUGCAUGUGUUUGACACAUUAACAUGAGUAUGUGUGUUUUUUGUGUGUCUACUGUUAGAUGUUGUAACUGUAAACCAUUGCUUAAAAGUGGGACUUCAUUGUCUGGAGAGGUCAAAGGUUGAAGGCCAAAGUUGAUGUGGAACACUGUAGUGACUUUUCCUAUUUCUAUGUGGUUUGUUGCAUCAGACUGUAUUUGAUUAACACAAAGA
ensembl:lncRNA